rnacentral:siRNA from 1 species
UAUACAAAGAUAGAUCUUCUGGCU